rnacentral:rRNA from 1 species
AUUGAACGCUGGCGGCAGGCCUAACACAUGCAAGUCGAGCGGAUGAAGGGAGCUUGCUCCUGGAUUCAGCGGCGGACGGGUGAGUAAUGCCUAGGAAUCUGCCUGGUAGUGGGGGAUAACGUCCGGAAACGGGCGCUAAUACCGCAUACGUCCUGAGGGAGAAAGUGGGGGAUCUUCGGACCUCACGCUAUCAGAUGAGCCUAGGUCGGAUUAGCUAGUUGGUGGGGUAAAGGCCUACCAAGGCGACGAUCCGUAACUGGUCUGAGAGGAUGAUCAGUCACACGGGAACUGAGACACGUUCCAGACUCCUACGGGAGGCAGCAGUGGGGAAUAUUGGACAAAGGGCGAAAGCCUGAUCCAGCCAUGCCGCGUGUGUGAAGAAGGUCUUCGGAUUGUAAAGCACUUUAAGUUGGGAGGAAGGGCAGUAAGUUAAUACCUUGCUGUUUUGACGUUACCAACAGAAUAAGCACCGGCUAACUUCGUG